GCCAAAUAGCUAGCUUAAACACCCAUUUAUACAACAUCAAAAAGCCCCACUCAACCCAAACCUUUCAAUUAAAACAUUUUUCCACCUUAGUAUGAGCGACAGAAAAGGUUAAAUAAAGCAAUAACAAAAGUACCGCAAGGGAAGGCUGAAAGAGAAAUGAAAUAAACCAUAUAAGCCUAAAAAAGCAGAGACUAAUACUCGUACCUUUUGCAUCAUGAUUUAGCUAGCCACCCUGAGCAAAGAGUACUUUAGUUCAAAACCCCGAAACUAAGUGAGCUACCCCGAGACAGCCUUCCAUAGGGCCAACCCAUCUCUGUGGCAAAAGAGUGGGAAGAUCUCCAGGUAGAGGUGACAGACCUACCGAACUUAGUUAUAGCUGGUUGCCUAAAAAAUGGAUAGAAGUUCAGCCUCACACUCCUCCAACCACAAAAAGUUACCACUUAAGACACGAACCAGAGUAAUAUGUGAGAGUUAAUCAGAGGGGGUACAGCCCCUCUGAAAAGGGAUACAACCCUGCCAGGAGGUUAAAGAUUAUAUUAUACAAGACUACAGCUUCAGUGGGCCUAAAAGCAGCCACCUUUACAGAAAGCGUUAAAGCUCAAGCAACCUAUAAUCUAUUAUUCAAAUAAAUACAUCUUAAACCCCUAACCAUAUUAGGCCUUUCUAUGCCAACAUAGAAGUGAUACUGCUAAAAUGAGUAAUAAGAAGAACACACUCUUCUCCCAACCCAUGUGUAAGCUAGAUCGGACUAUCCACUAGCCAUUAACGAACUCACCCCAAGAGAGUAAUAUGAUUAAAAAAAUAACCAAGAAAAAAUCACAACCAACAAAUCGUUAACCCCACACUGGAGAGCAUACAAGGAAAGACUAAAAGAAGAGGAAGGAACUCGGCAAACACAAGCCUCGCCUGUUUACCAAAAACAUCGCCUCCUGCAAAAAUCAACGUAUAGGAGGUCCUGCCUGCCCAGUGACUCUAAGUUAAACGGCCGCGGUAUUUUGACCGUGCAAAGGUAGCGCAAUCACUUGUCUUUUAAAUAAAGACCUGUAUGAAUGGUGAAACGAGGGCUUAACUGUCUCCCCCUUCUAGUCAAUGAAAUUGAUCUAUCCGUGCAGAAGCGGGUAUAACCAUACAAGACGAGAAGACCCUUUGGAGCUUAAGAUAAAAGAUCAAYUAUGUCAAAAGUUUAAAAAAAUAMUAAACCAAAUAGCASUGAUCCAAGUCUUCGGUUGGGGCGACCGCGGGAGAAAAUACAACUCCCAUGCAGACUGGGAUAUUCCCCAAAACCAAGAGAGACAUCUCUAAGGCACAGAACAUCUGASUAAAAGAUCCGGCUACAUACCGACCAACGAACCAAGUUACCCUAGGGAUAAUCACGCGCAAUCCCCUCCCAGAGUCCAUAUCGACAAGGGGGUUUACGACCUCGAUGUUGGAUCAGGAUAUCSUAAUGGUGCAGCCGCU
rnacentral:rRNA from 1 species